CGACAGUUGACAUGUUCACCUGAUUAAAAAAAGUUAACUACUUAUAACACCUAGUGUUCAAGAAAAAAUAUCUUCGUUGGUGCUCAAAAAAGAAAAAGUAUAGAUCUAUUGAAUUCAAAUGAAACUAGAAUUUCUAUCUUCACCCAAUUAAUGUUGCGUAUCAGGUAAAACUAAGUUACUAGCAGGGUUUACAUUUCUGAUUUUUCUAACAAAGUGG
rnacentral:misc_RNA from 1 species